rnacentral:rRNA from 1 species
GAUCCUGGCUCAGAUUGAACGCUGGCGGAAUGCUUUACACAUGCAAGUCGAACGGUAGAGGGGGCAACCCCUUGAGAGUGGCGAACGGGUGAGUAAUAUAUCGGAACGUGCCCAGUCGUGGGGGAUAACGUAGUGAAAAUUACGCUAAUACCGCAUACGAUCUAAGGAUGAAAGCGGGGGAUCGCAAGACCUCGCGCGACUGGAGCGGCCGAUAUCAGAUUAGGUAGUUGGUGGGGUAAAGGCUCACCAAGCCAACGAUCUGUAGCUGGUCUGAGAGGACGACCAGCCACACUGGAACUGAGACACGGUCCAGACUCCUACGGGAGGCAGCAGUGGGGAAUUUUGGACAAUGGACGCAAGUCUGAUCCAGCCAUUCCGCGUGCAGGAUGAAGGCCCUCGGGUUGUAAACUGCUUUUGUACGGAACGAAAAGGUUUCCAUUAAUACUGGGAGCUCAUGACGGUACCGUAAGAAUAAGCACCGGCUAACUACGUG